rnacentral:rRNA from 1 species
AGAGUUUGAUCCUGGCUCAGGAUGAACGCUAGCGACAGGCCUAACACAUGCAAGUCGAGGGAAAGGGUAGCAAUACCUGAAACCGGCGCACGGGUGAGUAACGCGUAUGUAACCUGCCUACAACAGGGGGAUAGCUUUCGGAAACGGAAAUUAAUACCGCAUAAGACCACGCUCUCGCAUGGGAGCGUAGUAAAAUUUACGGAGGUUGUAGAUGGGCAUGCGUGACAUUAGCUAGUUGGUAAGGUAACGGCUUACCAAGGCAACGAUGUCUAGGGGUUCUGAGAGGAAGGUCCCCCACACUGGUACUGAGACACGGACCAGACUCCUACGGGAGGCAGCAGUGAGGAAUAUUGGUCAAUGGGCGCAAGCCUGAACCAGCCAUGUCGCGUGCAGGAUGACGGCCCUAUGGGUUGUAAACUGCUUUUGUACGGGAAGAAAAAAGAUUACGUGUAAUCUAUUGCCGGUACCGUACGAAUAAGGAUCGGCUAACUCCGUGCCAGCAGCCGCGGUAAUACGGAGGAUCCGAGCGUUAUCCGGAUUUAUUGGGUUUAAAGGGUGCGUAGGCGGGUUAUUAAGUCAGUGGUGAAAGUUUGACGCUCAACGUUAAAAUUGCCAUUGAUACUGAUAGUCUUGAGUACAGUUGAGGUAGGCGGAAUGUGGUGUGUAGCGGUGAAAUGCAUAGAUAUACCACAGAACACCGAUUGCGAAGGCAGCUUACUAAAGUGUCACUGACGCUGAUGCACGAAAGUGUGGGGAUCAAACAGGAUUAGAUACCCUGGUAGUCC